AUAAAUGUCGAUGUUUUGCCAAGUGGAAAUGGUGGCUGACCUAAAGAGGGCUGACCUAAAUAGGUGUUUUUAUGCCGUUGCUUUUGUCUUUGGUGGCAAAUUAAAUUUAAACUUUACAUUUGCCUUCAUGCACAAGAUGACGGUAAAGGCACGAACAAACUAGUUUCCAGCCUAACAUCAGUUGUGAUAAAGUUCCUGGAAUGUAUUCUGAAAAACAGGAUUUGUCUGCUUAGACUGAUGAAGGGUCCCGACUCGAAACUGCACCUAUUCCUUUUCUCCAGAGAUGCUGCCUGACCCGCUGAGUUACUCCAGCAUUUUGUGUCUAUCUUCGGUGUAAACCAGCAUCUGGAGUUCCUUACACAAUGAAGAUGCGAGCCCACGAUAUUAGAUGGAAGAUACCACCAUGGAUAGAAGAUUCUCUCACAAUGAAGUACCACCUGAAUGAGCAAUUGAAGAGCCAUAAACUGCAGGACAAUGAACCAAGUUUUGAGAAAUGGGAGUAACCUGCAGUGCAUUUUGUCUGCACAGACACAGUGGUUGAAUGGCUUUUUGUCACCAGGUUCUGAGAUACACUCUUCCAACAAACCUCAAGCACGUUGGAAGGACAGCACCUCAUCUUCAAACUGGGCCAUAGCAGCCUUUAUGACAUUCAAUGUAUUCAAUUAUUUCAAGCCAUCAGCAUUUCCAUCAUGUGGAUUUCACAUUUCUGGAAUAAAGUUUUUGUCCGAUAAUUCAAAUAUCCUCCACUGACCUUUUAUUGUUCACUAAUCCCUUUUGAACCAGUACUAUUCAUCUCCAUCCUCAUUUAUUUUUACCUUCCUUAUACCCUACCAUAAACAUUUUUUUGUUUUCUCCUGUACUAACCAAUAGUUUCCUGCAUUAAUCUUUUUGUCGGAUCUAAUGCAAGGUCUCAAACCUCCCCCUUCCCUCUUGUAGUCAUAAAGUCAUAGAGUGUUACAGUGUGGAAACAGGCCCUUCAGCCCAACUUGCCCACACCGGCUAACAUAUCCCAGCUACACUAGGCCCACCUGUCUGCAUAUGGUCCAUGUCCUUCCAAACCUGUCCCAUCCAUGUAACUGUCUAACUGCUUCUUAUAUGUUGGGUUAGUUCCAGUCUCAACUAAAUCCUCUGGCAGAUUAUUCCAUACACCCACCACCAUUUGUGUGAAAAAGUUACCCCUCAGAUUCCUAUUAAAUCUUUUCCCCUUCACCUUAAACCUAUGUCCUCUGGUCCUCGAUUCACCUACUCUGGGCAGGAGACUGUGCUUCUACCCGAUCUAUUCCUCUCAUGAUUUUAUACACCUCAAUAAAAUCACCUCUCAUCCCCCUGCGCUCCAGGGAAUGGAGUUCCAGCCUACUCAACCUCUCCCUAUAGUUCAGACCCUCUAGUCCUGGCAACAUCCUUGUAAAUCUUCUCUGCACCCUUUCCAGCUUGACAACAUCUUUCCUAUAACAUGUUGCCCAGAACUAAACACAAUACUCUAAAGGCGGUCUCACCAACAUCUUAUACAACUGUAACAUGACUUCCCAACUUCUAUAUUCAAUACUCUGACUGAUGAUGGCCAAUGUACCAAUAGCCUUUUUGAUCACCUUAUCUACCUGCAACUCGACCUUCAAGGAACCAUGCACCUGCACUCCUAGAUCCCUCUGCUCAACUACACUUCCCAGAGCACUACCAUUCAUUGUGUAGGUCCUGCCCAUGUUAGACUUCCCAAAAUGGAAUUUCUCACAUUUAUCUGUAUUAAAAUCCAUCAACCAUUUCACAGCCCACCUGGCCAAUUGAUCAAGAUCCUUCUGCAAUUUUUCACAACCAUCUUCACCAUCUUCCCCACCCAGAUCCAUUUGUACAUCAUUGUACAUAAGUGAUAGGAGGAGAAUUAGGCCAUUUGGCCCAUUAAGUCUACAGCCAUUCAAUCAUCACUCAUCUAUCUUUCCCUGCCUUCUCCCCAUAA